rnacentral:lncRNA from 1 species
AAGUCCAGGGGGCCUCAGUCCCACUCCAUAGGCUCUGCUGGGAGCAGCUCCCCCGAGCGCCCCUGGGGGGCUCCACCAGGCCCCCCGCCCCAGCCAGGGCCGGCAGCACAGGACUGGCCAACCCACUCACUUACCUAGCKAACUACUUAGUCCCUGAGAGCCAUCUCCACACUCCAUGGGCCACACCGCCCAUCACAGCUCCCGGGGGCAGGCCCUCGGGGCUAAGACCUGCCCCGCUGCUGUCCAUCUUCACCAGGAGACACCUCUACACAGCAGGGGCCUCAGCACCCACCACACAUCUCCAGCCAUGCAGGGCACCUGGGGGGARCCAGCUCAGAGGGCAGAGACAGASAGAGAGAGASACCUGCCCCACUCCCGCACACCUCUGAGGGCCCCCCCUACUCGCCAGCUGCCACCACACACUGCUCUCCCUGUCCAUCCCAGCACCAGCAAUGCCAGCUCCUGGGGGGCAGCCCACGCAGGAGAGGCCCUGCCAUCCCAGCACCACACAUAGCACCAAGGCACCCCCUCCACACACAGGCUUCCCGCCAGACGCACACACACCAGCUGACCUCCUUGCUCCCCAGCUCAGCACAGGGCCUCGGUCCAUGGUGCCACUCCACUCCAACGGGGCAACCCAACGCCACGCUCGGMCUCGGCWGGAGAGCUGCCACCACAGCACACCYACRGGGACAGAGCCACUCCCCUCCUCACCAGUACACACCACCAAGCACAAUGACCACCCCCGCAACAGUCAGCCCCUCACAGCCUCCCACCACACACACAGAGUCACGCCAGAGGUCCCACCAGUACCAACCUCCUGACCUGCUCCAACACCUCCAGCUCCAGCUGACACUGCCACGCGCCUCUCUCCCCUCCYGGCCACCUCUGCCCCAGACACCCCUGUUCCAGGCCAGCCAGGCACAAGAGCAGCGCUCUCCUCUUCAUAUACCCUCAGCCGUGCACCAAGCUCUCCUAGACCAUGCACACAUGCAGCAGACACCAGGAGACUGCGCUCUGCCACCUGCCCAGGCACCCRUGGGCUUCCCGGCUCCCUCGUUAUYRAGCRUCUCUCACCACACAGACAGCGCUGCCACCGCACUCCACAGGGAUCACAGGACUCRCUCGGAGAUCAGUAGGAAAGACCUUUUAUUGAACCAGACACUAGCAAACAAACACAGGCUGUGGGCACUUACGGCAAGCUCCGCACCUCCCUUCCACAGACAGGCAGAGUCCCCCGCGACACGGUCCCCCGAGGUCACACGGCCAUUCCCUUGGUGGCUUCCCAGGCAGGCCAUGUCCCGCUCACGCUCUUCCUUUCAGGAGCCGCACAGAUCAGGUCCCGGAUGCACACAGGUAAGUAAGUGGCCACCUCACACAGUCCUGUUUUGUCCUUACACACUGCAGGAAAACACAAAGGAGAGACUGCUGUUAGCUGCCAGGCCCAGGCACGGCCCCGCCAGAUCCUCCCACCCAGAGGCCCCACUUCCAGGACCGCUCCGGCUCCACCACGUGCCGGACAGCGCCGUCACGGCAUGGGACAUCGCCCGCGCGGCAGCUACCCUCCAGUCCACAUCCGCGCACCUAGAGUGGGAUGAGCAGAGGCGUUCCGGUGAGUACAGAGGUCAGUGCCACAGCCACRCGCCCACAGCAGUCCCUUUGGCACRCGCCGCCACCGCCRCUCCCRGCACCGGCCCCRUCRGCACCCUCUUCCAGGGUCCCCUCUGCUGCGUCCCGGCUACGUUGCCAGCACCUUUCCCAGGAGCCUCGCCGCUGCACGUUUCCAGACCGGCGCUCGCCGCCUCCGUCUCCCCAGCGCAAAAGCUACCUACAYGCAGCAUCCUCCUCUGCACCCAAAAGCGAGAGUCCCCCCCCAAAAACCCACCCGCAUCACAUCGCGC